GACGAACGCUGGCGGCGUGCCUAAUACAUGCAAGUUGAGCGCUGAAGGUUGGUACUUGUACCGACUGGAUGAGCAGCGAACGGGUGAGUAACGCGUGGGGAAUCUGCCUUUGAGCGGGGGACAACAUUCGGAAACGAAUGCUAAUACCGCAUAACAACUUUAAACACAAGUUUUAAGUUUGAAAGAUGCAAUUGCAUCACUCAAAGAUGAUCCCGCGUUGUAUUAGCUAGUUGGUGAGGUAAAGGCUAACCAAGGCGAUGAUACAUAGCCGACCUGAGAGGGUGAUCGGCCACAUUGGGACUGAGAAACGGCCCAAACUCCUACGGGAGGCAGCAGUAGGGAAUCUUCGGCAAUGGACGAAAGUCUGACCGAGCAACGCCGCGUGAGUGAAGAAGGUUUUCAGAUCGUAAAACUCUGUUGGUAGAGAAGAACGAUGGUGAGAGUGGAAAGCUCAUCAAGUGACGGUAACUACCCAGAAAGGGACGGCUAACUACGUGCCAGCCGCCGCCGUAA
rnacentral:rRNA from 1 species